UGGCUCAAUCGGUAGAGCGUCUGACUGUCAGUCAGGCGGUCGCUGGUUCGAGUCCGGU
rnacentral:tRNA from 1 species